UGACAUCCAAUAAAAUUAUUUAAAUGAUUUAAUUGUUUUUCCUUAGAUGCGCUAUCUGCAUAGCACGAAUGAUAAAAGUCAUAACAGAAAUUCUCACUUUCCCCAGAAAAUACAGCAAGCAACAUAUCUAGUCUUCAGGAAAAGAGUGAAGGCGAGGUGAAUGGGGAAGGGAACUAGUUAAAACCCACCCACUGCACCUGCAUCAAUGAAUAAUGUCUUUUCCUAAUCCUGCACUCCCGACAGUUCAAAACUUUUGUGCACAACGAAACACAAUCAAAUUCCUUCAAGACCAAAUGCUAUCGAGAUAACUACCAAUUAACCCAAUCAACAGUCAAGAAAGAACAACAUACGAGAAACGUACAAAAGCAAGGUUUAGCAUUCAACUAAAAAUGGGAAAAGAGGCAAUUGCGUAUGCAGAUGAGAUCUAGUAAAAAAAAAAAAACCAAGCCCAUGAUUUUUUCUUCUCUUCCUCCAACCGGCGCCACCCCACCCGGCUUUGGGC
rnacentral:misc_RNA from 1 species